UCCAGCAGCCAUAUCACCCUGCAGCUCUCAAAUGGAUAUCCACUGAAGCUAAGCAGGGUUGUGCCUGGUCAGUACCUGGAUGGGAGACCUCCUUGGGAAGCUAUGGUUGGUGUCAGUG
rnacentral:rRNA from 1 species